rnacentral:rRNA from 1 species
CCUACGGGAGGCAGCAGUGAGGAAUAUUGGUCAAUGGACGAGAGUCUGAACCAGCCAAGCAGCGUGAAGGAUGACUGCCCUCUGGGUUGUAAACUUCUUUUAUAAAGGAAUAAAACGAGGCUAGUGUGCCUUUUUGCAUGUACUUUAUGAAUAAGGAUCGGCUAACUCCGUGCUAGCAGCCGCGGUAAUACGGAGGAUCCGAGCGUUAUCCGGAUUUAUUGGGUUUAAAGGGAGCGGAGAUGGGUUGUUAAGUCAGUUGUGAAAGUUUGCGGCUCAACCGUAAAAUUGCACUUGAUACUGGCAGUCUUGAGUACAGUUGAGGUAGGCGGAAUUCGUGGUGUAGCGGUGAAAUGCUUAGAUAUCACGAAGAACCCCGAUUGCGAAGGCAGCUUACUAAACUGUGACUGACAUUGAUGCUCGAAAGUGUGGGUAGCAAACAGGAUUAGAUACCCGUGUAGUC